rnacentral:rRNA from 1 species
AGUGAACGCUGGCGGUAGGCCUAACACAUGCAAGUCGAACGGCAGCACAGUAAGAGCUUGCUCUUACGGGUGGCGAGUGGCGGACGGGUGAGGAAUACAUCGGAAUCUACUUUUUCGUGGGGGAUAACGUAGGGAAACUUACGCUAAUACCGCAUACGACCUACGGGUGAAAGCAGGGGAUCUUCGGACCUUGGGCGAUUGAAUGAGCCGAUGUCGGAUUAGCUAGUUGGCGGGGUAAAGGCCCACCAAGGCGACGAUGCGUAGCUGGUCUGAGAGGAUGAUCAGCCACACUGGAACUGAGACACGGUCCAGACUCCUACGGGAGGCAGCAGUGGGGAAUAUUGGACAAUGGGCGCGAGCCUGAUCCAGCCAUACCGCGUGGGUGAAGAAGGCCUUCGGGUUGUAAAGCCCUUUUGUUGGGAAAGAAAAGCAGCAGGUUAAUCCCCCGCUGUUCUGACGGUACCCAAAGAAUAAGCACCGGCUAACUUCGUG